CCGACCUGAGAGGGUGAUCGGCCACACUGGGACUGAGACACGGCCCAGACUCCUACGGGAGGCAGCAGUAGGGAAUCUUCGGCAAUGGGGGCAACCCUGACCGAGCAACGCCGCGUGAGUGAAGAAGGUUUUCGGAUCGUAAAGCUCUGUUGUAAGUCAAGAACGGGUGUGAGAGUGGAAAGUUCACACUGUGACGGUAGCUUACCAGAAAGGGACGGCUAACUACGUGCCAGCAGCCGCGGUAAUACGUAGGUCCCGAGCGUUGUCCGGAUUUAUUGGGCGUAAAGCGAGCGCAGGCGGUUUGAUAAGUCUGAAGUUAAAGGCUGUGGCUCAACCAUAGUUCGCUUUGGAAACUGUCAAACUUGAGUGCAGAAGGGGAGAGUGGAAUUCCAUGUGUAGCGGUGAAAUGCGUAGAUAUAUGGAGGAACACCGGUGGCGAAAGCGGCUCUCUGGUCUGUAACUGACGCUGAGGCUCGAAAGCGUGGGGAGCGAACAGGAUUAGAUACCCUGGUAGUCCACGCCGUAAACGAUGAGUGCUAGGUGUUGGAUCCUUUCCGGGAUUCAGUGCCGCAGCUAACGCAUUAAGCACUCCGCCUGGGGAGUACGACCGCAAGGUUGAAACUCAAAGGAAUUGACGGGGGCCCGCACAAGCGGUGGAGCAUGUGGUUUAAUUCGAAGCAACGCGAAGAACCUUACCAGGUCUUGACAUCCCGAUGCUAUUUCUAGAGAUAGAAAGUUACUUCGGUACAUCGGUGACAGGUGGUGCAUGGUUGUCGUCAGCUCGUGUCGUGAGAUGUUGGGUUAAGUCCCGCAACGAGCGCAACCCUAUUGUUAGUUGCCAUCAUUCAGUUGGGCACUCUAGCGAGACUGCCGGUAAUAAACCGGAGGAAGGGGGGGAUGACGUCAAAUCAUCAUGCCCCUU
rnacentral:rRNA from 1 species